UACGUAGGGUGCGAGCGUUGUCCGGAAUUACUGGGCGUAAAGAGCUCGUAGGUGGUUUGUCGCGUUGUUCGUGAAAUCUCACGGCUUAACUGUGAGCGUGCGGGCGAUACGGGCAGACUUGAGUACUGCAGGGGAGACUGGAAUUCCUGGUGUAGCGGUGGAAUGCGCAGAUAUCAGGAGGAACACCGGUGGCGAAGGCGGGUCUCUGGGCAGUAACCAUCGCUGAGGAGCGAAAGCGUGGGGAGCGAACAGG
rnacentral:rRNA from 1 species